rnacentral:sRNA from 1 species
CGUAUCAUACUGCUGCGUCGUUGAGCC